rnacentral:rRNA from 4 species
UCAGGUAGGGAUACCCGCUGAACUUAAGCAUAUC